AUUGAACGCUGGCGGCAGGCCUAACACAUGCAAGUCGAACGAGUGGCGGACGGGUGAGUAAUGUCUGGGAAACUGCCUGAUGGAGGGGGAUAACUACUGGACACGGUAGCUAAUACCGUAUACCAUCAGAUGUGCCCAGAUGGGAUUAGCUAGUUGGUGGGGUAACGGCUAACCAAUGAGACGAUCCCUAGCUGUUCUGAGAGGAUGACCAGCCACAUUGGGACUGAGACACGGCCCAGACUCCUACGGGAGGCAGCAGUGGGGAAUAUUGCACAAUGGGCGCAAGCCUGAUGCAGCCAUGCCGCGUGUAUGAAGAAGGCCUUCGGGUUGUAAAGUACUUUCAGCGGGGAGGCGUUACCCGCAGAAGAAGCACCGGCUAACUCCGUGCCAGCAGCCGCGGUAAUUC
rnacentral:rRNA from 1 species